GGAAGGGUGUCCGAGCGGUUUAAGGAGCACGCUUGGAAAGCGUGUGUGCGGGCGACCGUACCGCGGGUUCGAAUCCCGCCCCUUCCGCCA
rnacentral:tRNA from 1 species